rnacentral:rRNA from 1 species
GGUGGACGGGGGAGGAAUGUCUGGUAAACUGCCUGAUGGAGGGGGAUAACUACUGGAAACGGUAGCUAAUACCGCAUGACCUCGCAAGAGCAAAGUGGGGGACCUUCGGGCCUCACGCCAUCGGAUGUGCCCAGAUGGGAUUAGCUAGUAGGUGAGGUAAUGGCUCACCUAGGCGACGAUCCCUAGCUGGUCUGAGAGGAUGACCAGCCACACUGGAACUGAGACACGGUCCAGACUCCUACGGGAGGCAGCAGUGGGGAAUAUUGCACAAUGGGCGCAAGCCUGAUGCAGCCAUGCCGCGUGUGUGAAGAAGGCCUUAGGGUUGUAAAGCACUUUCAGCGAGGAGGAAGGGUUCAGUGUUAAUAGCACUGAACAUUGACGUUACUCGCAGAAGAAGCACCGGCUAACUCCGUGCCAGCAGCCGCGGUAAUACGGAGGGUGCAAGCGUUAAUCGGAAUUACUGGGCGUAAAGCGCACGCAGGCGGUUUGUUAAGUCAGAUGUGAAAUCCCCGAGCUUAACUUGGGAACUGCAUUUUGAAACUGGUAAGCUAGAGUCUUGUAGAGGGGGGUAGAAUUCCAGGUGUUCGGUGAAAUGCCUAGAGAUCUGGAGGAAUACCGGUGGCGAAGGCCGCCCCCUGGACAAAGACUGACGCUCAUGUGCGAAAGCGUGCGGAGCAAAAAAGAUUAUAAAACCCUUGUAUCCAUGCAGUA